rnacentral:rRNA from 1 species
CGAACGUGGGUAACCUGCCUUAUAGUGGGGGAUAGCCUUUCGAAAGGAAGAUUAAUACCGCAUAAGAUUGUAGUAUCGCAUGAUAUAGCAAUUAAAGGAGCAAUUCGCUAUAAGAUGGACCCGCGUCGCAUUAGCUAGUUUGUGAGGUAAUGGCUCACCAAGGCGACGAUGCGUAGCCGACCUGAGAGGGUGAUCGGCCACAUUGGGACUGAGACACGGCCCAGACUCCUACGGGAGGCAGCAUG